UACGUAGGGGGCAAGCGUUGUCCGGAAUCAUUGGGCGUAAAGAGCGCGUAGGCGGCCCGAUAAGUCCGCUGUGAAAGUCAAGGGCUUAACCCUUGAAUGCCGGUGGAAACUGUCGGGCUAGAGUCCGGAAGAGGCGAGUGGAAUUCCUGGUGUAGCGGUGAAAUGCGCAGAUAUCAGGAGGAACACCGAUGGCGAAAGCAGGUAACUGGACCAUUACUGACACUCAGCUGCGAAAGCUAGGGGAGCAAACAGG
rnacentral:rRNA from 1 species